AGUUGAUCCGUGCUACGAGACGACGCUGGCGGCGUGCCUAACACAUGCAAGUCGAACGAAGCACUUUCCUUGGAGAUUCGUCGAAGAGGGAAUUGACUUAGUGGCGGACGGGUGAGUAAUGCGUGAGCAACCUGCCCUUCAGAGGGGGACAACAGUUGGAAACGACUGCUAAUACCGCAUAACGUAUACGGGAGGCAUCUCCUGCAUACCAAAGAUUUUAUCGCUGAAGGAUGGGCUCACGUCUGAUUAGCUUGUUGGUGGGGUAACGGCCUACCAAGGCUGCGAUCAGUAGCCGGACUGAGAGGUUGAACGGCCACAUUGGGACUGAGAUACGGCCCAGACUCCUACGGGAGGCAGCAGUGGGGAAUAUUGGGCAAUGGGCGCAAGCCUGACCCAGCAACGCCGCGUGAAGGAAGAAGGCCUUCGGGUUGUAAACUUCUUUUAUGAGGGACGAAGGACGUGACGGUACCUCAUGAAUAAGCCACGGCUAACUACGUGCC
rnacentral:rRNA from 1 species